GGAGGGUGCAAGCGUUAUCCGGAUUCACUGGGUUUAAAGGGAGCGUAGGUGGGUUGGUAAGUCAGAGGUGAAAUCUCCGAGCUUAACUCGGAAACUGCCUUUGAUACUAUCAGUCUUGAAUAUUGUGGAGGUUAGCGGAAUAUGUCAUGUAGCGGUGAAAUGCUUAGAUAUGACAUAGAACACCAAUUGCGAAGGCAGCUGGCUACACAUAUAUUGACACUGAGGCUCGAAAGCGUGGGGAUCAAACAGGAUUAGAUACCCUGGUAGUCCACGCCCUAAACUAUGGAUACUCGACAUACGCGAUAAACUGUGUGUGUCUGAGCGAAAGCAUUAAGUAUCCCACCUGGGAAGUACGACCGCAAGGUUGAA
rnacentral:rRNA from 1 species